GCUCCCGACUUCUUGACCUUCUACUUGAACCAUUAGUUGAUAAUCUAUUUUUAUCAUCAGAGUGUUUUUUUCUAGAACUAUCUGUCAGAGAAAGCAUGGACAAGUCUUUACGUUCUCCAUCUUGAUAAGCUUUUCUGUGUGCCCUUGGUGAAAUAGAAGUAGACCUUCUUCUAUCCUCCCGCUCAUGACUUCUUGAUCUUCUACUUGAACCAUUAGUUGAUACUCUAUUUUUAUCAUCAGAGUGCUUUUUUCUAGAACUAUCAGUCAGAGAAGGCACGGACAAGUCUUUACGCUCUCCAUCUUGAUAAGUAUUUCUGUGUGCCCUUGGUGAAAGAGAACGGGGCUUUCUUCUAUCCUCACGCUCCCGACUUCUUGACCGUCUCCUCUUCAUGGUUGGUUCUUCAUAAUGUGGCUUCACCUUUU
rnacentral:lncRNA from 1 species